UUGUGAGUUUGAAACCUGGCUCAGGAUGAACGCUGGCGGCGUGCCUAAUACAUGCAAGUCGAGCGAAUGGAUUGAGAGCUUGCUCUCAAGAAGUUAGCGGCGGACGGGUGAGUAACACGUGGGUAACCUGCCCAUAAGACUGGGAUAACUCCGGGAAACCGGGGCUAAUACCGGAUAACAUUUUGAACUGCAUGGUUCGAAAUUGAAAGGCGGCUUCGGCUGUCACUUAUGGAUGGACCCGCGUCGCAUUAGCUAGUUGGUGAGGUAACGGCUCACCAAGGCAACGAUGCGUAGCCGACCUGAGAGGGUGAUCGGCCACACUGGGACUGAGACACGGCCCAGACUCCUACGGGAGGCAGCAGUAGGGAAUCUUCCGCAAUGGACGAAAGUCUGACGGAGCAACGCCGCGUGAGUGAUGAAGGCUUUCGGGUCGUAAAACUCUGUUGUUAGGGAAGAACAAGUGCUAGUUGAAUAAGCUGGCACCUUGACGGUACCUAACCAGAAGUAUCGAUUUG
rnacentral:rRNA from 1 species